rnacentral:rRNA from 1 species
UACGGGGGGGGCAAGCGUUGUUCGGAAUUACUGGGCGUAAAGGGCGCGUAGGCGGUCUGCUAAGUUGGAUGUGAAAACUCUGGGCUUAACCCAGAGCCUGCAUUCAAUACUGACAGGCUAGAGUUCUGGAGGGGAUAGCGGAAUUCCUGGUGUAGCGGUGAAAUGCGUAGAUAUCUGGAGGAACACCGGUGGCGAAGGCGACAUCCUGGACCGGUAUUGACGCUGAGGCGCGAAAAGCCAGGGGGAGACAAGCGGG